UCUAGCAAAAAGGCCACCUCGGCAAUCUCUCAGCUAACAGCUUCUGUUCAUUCAUCAAAACCAUUUUUCUCCCGAAAAAAAGAAAUUUUUUCCUCUAAUAUUUUAAUCAAGUCCCCGCUGACAAACCCUAAUAUAUCCUCCAUUUUCUUCACAGACAGAACGGUGUAGAAGCAGAGAAAAGAACUGAAGAUUUUUUUCUCAAUCAGACCGCGUUAAUAGUUGAAUUGUGCUCAAAAUGGCUGGGAGAAACCGCAUUCCUCGUGAAGCCUUCAAUGACCGGCGUGGAUUCCCUCCCGAAAGACCUUUCCUUCGUGGUCUUCCUUUGCCUCAGCCACCUCCUCAUCCUGUGUUGUUGGAGGAAGAACUUGAAAUGCAGCAUGCAGAAAUUCGGAGGCUUUUGACUGAUAACCGCAGGCUGGUAGAAGAUCGAAUAGCUAUACAACAAGAGCUUGGUGCUGCAAAGGAGGAAAUUCAUCGUUUGAAUCUUGUCAUUGGUGAAAUUCGUGCAGAACAAGAAGUGCACUCAAGGGAACUUAUUGAGAAAGGCUUGAAACUGGAGGCAGAUAUCCGUGCAACUGAGCCAUUGAAAAAAGAGUCUGUCCAACUACGUACAGAAGUUCAGAAACUGAAAAAUGUUAGGCAGGAGCUAACUGGCCAAGUUCAGACCCUCAAGCAAGAUGUUGCCAGGUUGCAAGCUGAUAAUCAACAAAUACCUAUUCUAAGGGCAGAAAUUGAUGGCCUGCACCAGGAGUUGAUGCAUGCAAGGACUGCUAUUGAUUAUGAAAAGAAGGCAAACAUUGAGCUGGUGGAACAGAGACAAGCAAUGGAGAAGAACAUGGUCUCUAUGGCACGUGAAGUUGAAAAGCUACGUGCAGAACUUGCUAGCGUUGAUGGUAGACCAUGGGCUGCUGGUGGACCAUAUGGGAUGAAAUUCAACAGUUCUGACAGUGCUUUUCCUGCUCCAUAUGAAGGAUAUGGCAUUCAUCUGGGUGUUGCUGACAAGGGUCCUUUCUAUGGUCCCGGUCCUGCUUCUUGGGAGAAGCCUCGCAUGACUCGUCGCUAGGAGAGUUAUUGCUUGCUGGAAGGAAGGAAGCGUUGCUACUUUCAGCUGCCACUUGUGAAGUGCAAAUGUUGAUCAGCAUGGAGUUCAUCAUCUAUGUGUGCAUGCCACAUCAGUAACUUUUAUCUAAUUACAUUAUGGGAAGCUGUUAUACUUCAUGCAGAAAGGUAAAGAAAGAAGAUCAGGUAUAUCUUAAAUGAGAUUGAGGAAAUAUUUACAUGUGCUUCCAGACGAAUUGGAAGGAGGAAAAGGAUAACUCUGUCUGCAUGUGUGUGUUCAUUGGUCUACAUGCAUUACAAUCUUAAAGGAGAUGCAUGGAACUUUGUUGUAUGAUUUUGUUUACUUUUUCCGUGCAGUGAGAGAUGGGGAGGGGAUAUUGGAAUUCAUAGGCUACACAAUGACAGCCAGCACUUUCAGUUCUGUAGCCUAUGGCCUCCUUCCCCAUUCCUUUUUGGGGUCUCCUGCAAUCUCUAGUGAUGGCAGGACUAGAUCGCAAUUCCUUGGUAUGAUCAAGCAUGGACAUUGUCAUAUAAGCUUGUUUCACAGCCAGCAUUGCCAUCAAUGUUUUAUAGUCUUAGUUAUCUCUGGUUAGGUGGAAUGUCCAACUAGCCUAGAACUUGCUAACAUCUCCUAACCUUCUUUUCUCCUUUUGGGUGGUUCAUUUGUGAAACAAUCUUUGAGAAGGAUCUUUCUAUUUUGAAA